CAUUAUUAUUGUUUACUUUGUAAUGUUGCAAAGAUCUCACAUUAGCGAAAUGUCAGCUCUGCUAUAUUCUUGUUUGUUUUUGCUUUCAUUAUUUGCAUUUUCAAUCCUUAGUUUCUUUAUAGAAAUCUUUUAAACUCAUUUCUCCAUUUUCCAAGGAUUUUAAUGAAAAAUCAUUAAAACUGUAUCAAUUUAACUGUACCUCCUAGAAAACCCAAUUUGUCAAAAUAUACUGAAAGCCAGCAAUCGCUUUCAAACCUUCCACAUUAUGGAAUUUAUUCUUACUCUUGAGAAUGUCUUUUAUAAUAUAUGUGUCUCAGGACCCUUUCAUAAAUGGCAAGGUGUGACACUGGAGUCAAGGUACAGAGUAUAUAUUAGUAAUUAGUAAUUGAUUUUUUGAAAAAAAUAAAUUUAAGUAGAAGUUGUAAUAUUUUAUUUCUGCACCCCAGUGGAACUUCCCUUUUGCUUUUUCUACCACAGAUGCUGGAAUACCUUUAGAUGCCAGGCAUGGCUGUGUGUUCCACUCUUGGCUAAUGAGAUGUGAACAUCUUUGACUGAAUGUGGGGGUUUCCAAAAAAGCUAUGGAACAGGAUGAAAUCAAUUAGAAUGUCUUUUUUAGCUUUUACCCUUAUUCCUCCCGCUUGGAACACUGGGACAAGUGCCACUGGGACAGAAAGACAAAAGCUACAAGCUAAGCAGAAGACUAUGGAUCCUAUUGAAACUUCCAUCUCAACAGGCGGUUUCCUAGUUGCGGUGUAAUGCAAGGGCUGGUGGUUCCAGGUUGGAGGCUUCUGCAGCACCCUGUCUGGAAUAUAUGAACGACGGCAAUAAGGAAACCCCGAGAACUCACUGCUAGAACAUUCCUCAAGUCCCCAGAUCCUUGGCCAGUUUGCCUUCUUCUUUCCACCUGUGCUGGAGUCUGUCUGUGCUUAUCUGUCAUGAUCCCUCCCUCUGAGGUAAGCAAACUGGCACGUUGUAAGCAAACUGGCACGUUGUGAACAGCCCUAUGGAGAGGCCUGUACAUCAAGAAUGGAGGAAGGCUUCCAGCCUAGAGCUGGCAAGUAGCUGAGGCCCCCAGUCUGACAAGCCCACGAAGAACUGACUGCCAAUGACCACGUAAGUGAGCUUGGAAGCCCCAGCCCACAACUGGCUGCAGCCUUGUGAGAAUCCUUGAGGCACAGGAUUCUCAAGCUAAGCUACACAUGGAUUCUCAUGGUUUAUGAGACAGUGUCUGUUAAGUCACUAAGAUUUGGGAUAAGAUAUUGUGUAUUAAUAAAUAAACUAGUAUGCAGUGCAUAUAAACUUCACUUAACACA